rnacentral:rRNA from 1 species
AGUUUGUGGGCUUUGCCUGCUAUCUCUUACCCAUGUCUUUUGAGUACUUACGUUUCCUCGGUGGGUUCGCCCGCCGAUUGGACAAUUUAAACCCUUUGCAGUUGCAAUCAGCGUCUGAAAAACAUAAUAGUUACAACUUUCAACAACGGAUCUCUUGGUUCUGGCAUCGAUGAAGAACGCAGCGAAAUGCGAUAAGUAGUGUGAAUUGCAGAAUUCAGUGAAUCAUCGAAUCUUUGAACGCACAUUGCGCCCCUUGGUAUUCCAUGGGGCAUGCCUGUUCGAGCGUCAUUUGUACCUUCAAGCAUUGCUUGGUGUUGGGUGUUUGUCUCGCCUUUGCGUGUAGACUCGCCUUAAAACAAUUGGCAGCCGGCGUAUUGAUUUCGGAGCGCAGUACAUCUCGCGCUUUGCACUCAUAACGACGACGUCCAAAAGUACAUUUUAACACUCUUGACCUCGGAUCAGGUAGGGAUACCCGCUGAACUUAAGCAUAUCAAUAAGCGGAGGAAAAGAAAUGCUCAUA